ensembl:lncRNA
UUUUUUUUUUUUCCCGGAAGGAAAGAGUCGCUCAAGGUUUUAAUCUUCCAUCUUAGGGGAAUGUCCACAGCCCUAACUAAAAUGGCCGUGGCCAGGCGUGGUGGCUCACGCCUGUAAUCCCAACACUUUGGGAGGCCGAGGCGGGCGGAUCACAAGGUCAGGAGUUUGAGACCAGCCUGGCCAAUAUGGUGAAACCCCAUCUCUACUAAAAAUACAACAAAAUUAGCUGGGCGUGGUGGCUGGCGCCUGUAAUCCAGUUUCUCGGGAGGCUGAGGCAGGAGAAUUGCUUGAACUCAGGAGGCGGAGGUUGCAGUGAGCCGAGAUCACGCCGUUGCACUCCAGCCUGGGCAGAGUGAGACUCCGUCUCAGAAAUAUAAUAAUAAUGGCCGUAAGGAGCGUGCAUUUCUAAACCAAUGCUCGCAGGUGUGCAUACGGGGCCCUCUCCUGCUGCCAUCUGUUACACAGGUCUGUCAUCUUCCCACUUGGAUUUGAGGACUCUUGUCUUUCCUGGGGACACGUGAUUGGAUUACUUCAUCCAGCUUGCUCAGCCUCUGCUCUUCUGGGGAAAGAAGGUAGGCUCUGAGGCCAGACUGAAUGGUGGUCCUUCACCUCCCAGCCCCGUGACAAGCAUUCCCUUAUCCCCUCUGCAAAGCACGCACCACGCACCAGCCAUGCUGGGAAGCAGCCCUUGUGGAGCUUACAAUUGUUAGACUCCUCUUCGUCUGCUUCAUCUGAGACUUGGUCUUUAGAAGAGAUUAAAUGAGCUGACGAACGCCACACUCCAUAAAUUGGUUCCUUCUCUCCCAUGGUAUUCUGUCAGGCAGGAGCCUCUAUUUUAAAGCAUAUUUGCUCAUGUGUUCAAGGCUGCCCCUGACUUUGCAGAUGUUGAUACCCGCCCCCAACCCUGCCCACCUCCGUGUUUUCCCUCCGAGGUGCUUCAGUUGGGGCACACCUGGCUUCAGAGAGCAAAUGUAGGUUAACAAGCAGGAAGGACUCUAGGGAUCUAGUUCUCCUUGCUACCACCUCCCGAGCUCCCUUCUCCAGCAGGCACUGGGGGAUUACUUCAGACACUGGCACAGCUCAUCAGCAACAGGAGCUGAGGUGGGAAUGCCGUAAAUUUACAAAUUAACCAAAUGUCAGUCUAAGAAAUAUUUUCUUUUGAAAUAAGGCCCUCCAAAAGUCUCUCAUUCUGUUUCUUUGAGGAGUCAGAACAUCAUUUGGCUGGGAAACGAUCUGUGUGGUGCACACUGUCCCUGCUGCCUGGCCCCGUGGUGGCGGUGCAGCUCCCUCAUCACCCAGCACCCUAUUAUUUACAAAGUCGCCAGCUCUGACAGAGAACUAAUGACCCAAAAGCCAGGGGUGUCCCAUGUGCCUGAGAGUUUUGCUGUAGAUAGGAGGGUGACUGAGCUGGGGACACUGAGCCCGGGUCCCGGGGAAGUCAUUUACUCGCAUGAGGGUUUGAAGGAAGAGGGCGCCACUGGUGUUUGGAAGAGGAGAGAAGGCAGAAUGUCUGACUUUCCUCAGGUGGGGAAAGAAUUUAAAUUCCAUAGCCAACAGUUUGCAAAGAUGAACCCAUCCUUAUGUUCUCUUUUCAGUUGUGACACAGGAUUUCCAUCAUUUCUCUAUCACAGUUGCCUCAGGAAGCGGGGAAGGAGGGGGAGCAGCGCUGUGGCCAGAACAUAACCUGAUGACCCCCUUGUGUCUCAGAUCAUCGGGCACUGGGACUAGUGGAGGCUGUCCUUGUAGCACUUGGCGCAGAACCAAGAGGAACACCGUUUCUGCCCUGGCUCUGACACAGCCAGCAUUUGGCCAGGUGCCUACUGUAUGCAUCAGGUACUGCCCUUAGCACUUUCCCC